ACGGGAGGCAGCAGUGGGGGAUAUUGGACAAUGGGCGAAAGCCUGACCCAGCAAUGCCGCGUGAAGGAAGAAGGUCUUCGGAUUGUAAACUUCUUUUAUGAGGGACGAAGGAUUUGACGGUAACUCAUGAAUAAGCCACGGCUAACUACGUGCCAGCAGCCGCGGUAAUACGUAGGUGGCAAGCGUUAUCCGGAUUGACUGGGUGUAAAGGGCGCGUAGGCGGGGAAGCAAGUCAGAUGUGAAAGCCAUGGGCUCAACUCAGGAACUGCAUUUGAAACUGUUUCUCUUGAGUGCUGGAGAGGUAGAUGGAAUUCCUAGUGGAGCGGUGAAAUGCGUAGAUAUUAGGAAGAACACCAGUGGCGAAGGCGAUCUACUGGACAGUAACUGACGCUGAGGCGCGAAAGCGUGGGGAGCAAACAGGAUUAGAUACCCUGGUA
rnacentral:rRNA from 1 species